UACGUAGGGUCGCGAGUGUCGAUCGAUCUGGGCGUAAAGAGCUCGUAGGUGGUUUGUCGCGUUGUUCGUGAAAACUCACAGCUCAACUGUGGGCGUGCGGGCGAUACGGGCAGACUUGGAGUACUGCAGGGGGAGACUGGAAUUCCUGGUGUAGCGGUGGAAUGCGCAGAUAUCAGGAGGAACACCGAUGGCGAAGGCAGCUCGCUGGGACGGUACUGACGCUGAGGGCGCGAAAAGCGUGGGGGAGCAAACAGG
rnacentral:rRNA from 1 species